rnacentral:lncRNA from 1 species
AUCACCAUUUCAAUAAAUUUCAUACACACAUGCCUUGGUGUAUAUUAAACACUUACCAUAGCCAUAAGCUAAUGAUUAAACACAUAACUUAGCGAUAUCAUCACAUGGUAAGAUAUAGUUCAUAAACAUAGCAUCUCUUAAAUCAUACCUUUCAUAUUCAUGAAUAUUCAUACUUUAAUCAUUGACACAUCAUACCUUUCCAUAUUUGUUGUAGUGAAGUCAAUCAAAACCCUUACCGGAGCUCACACAAAGUGUGUUAAACGAUGGUCGAAACCAUCCCUUUUCUAUAAUCGAUGAAUACUGUGAAGACGAUUGAAACCCUGGUGCACGUUUCCAUUGUGCCAUAGUCCAACUAUGAUCUUACAUAUGCAUU